rnacentral:rRNA from 1 species
AUGAACGCUGGCGGCGUGCCUAAUACAUGCAAGUCGAGCGAACAGACGAGGAGCUUGCUCCUCUGACGUUAGCGGCGGACGGGUGAGUAACCCGUGGAUAACCUACCUAUAAGACUGGGACAACUUCGGGAAACCGGAGCUAAUACCGGAUAAUAUAUUGAACCGCAUGGUUCAAUAGUGAAAGACGGUUUUGCUGUCACUUAUAGAUGGAUCCGCGCCGCAUUAGCUAGUUGGUAAGGUAACGGCUUACCAAGGCAACGAUGCGUAGCCGACCUGAGAGGGUGAUCGGCCACACUGGAACUGAGACACGGUCCAGACUCCUACGGGAGGCAGCAGUAGGGAAUCUUCCGCAAUGGGCGAAAGCCUGACGGAGCAACGCCGCGUGAGUGAUGAAGGUCUUCGGAUCGUAAAACUCUGUUAUUAGGGAAGAACAAAUGUGUAAGUAACUAUGCACGUCUUGACGGUACCUAAUCAGAAAGCCACGGCUAACUACGUG